CAUUCCCAACGUUCACUUGGAGUGAGAAUGUUAUGAACAAGUUGCCUCUCAUUGAUUUCUCACAACCACUCUAUGCAGCAGGUACUGUUUUAAUCUCUGGAGAAAACUGAAGCUCAGAGAGGUUAAUGGCUUUCUCACUGUCACACAGUGAAUAAACAGUAGACUGGGCACUCCAUUGUCUAACCAUAAAUGGGAACAUCCAUUUAUCUGAGAAAAAAAAAAAAGACAUGUGAGCCUCACCCUUCUUAGAAAUGGUUUGUGGUGCGGAAGAAGAGAGGAGAGAGGAAGAAAAAUUCAGUCUUCAAUUUCUUUUGUCGGAAGGCAAAACCAACCACGAUUGCCCCAGAAGCAAAAUCAACCCCUGGGGUGAAAAUACAAUCUUCCAAGGAAUCUAAGAAGAAGUUAUGCUUUCAAAAGUCUCCUAGGUGGAGCAGGUCAGUUUAACAAACACUUAUUGAGCACGUUAUAUGUCCCAGAUGCUAUGCUAGUCCCUGGGAAUACUGUUUUCUUCAAGGAGCCAGCAGUCUAUGGUGCCACUCAUAUGAAUGAACUCACUGGAACUUCACAGCAACCUUAUGAGUAGGGAUGAUUUUGAAAGAUGUUGAGACUGAGGCAUAUCUUGCCAACAAGAUAGUGCUUCUAGACAUGGCCUCAGAGCGGAGUGGAAGCAGAGGGAAUCGAGAGACUUCAAUGCACCAGGAACUGUUCCUUGACAAGCUUAUUUCUCAUUUGUCUUCAUCAGAAGGAUUUCGAGACUGGAACAUUGAAUAGGCUGCUCACUGACAGCUGAUGGGAAGAUUAGUGAUCAAAGGUUGGAGAUAUUUGGAAAGGGAAUGUGCUCUGCUAUGGGGGUUGAUGGGAGAAUGAAGAGGAACUCCAAGCCCUCAAAUAGACAUGAUUUAAGCUAAAAGCCCAAGAAGCUGCUGUGGGGGAAGGAGAACAAGGGAUUCCGUCUCCUCCUGGAGGCUGCAUUGUGCGUCUGUCCAGGGAAGUGCAGGCGGCCCUCUUCAGAAAUGUGGAGUAGCCAAGUGGUGCUCUUGAGAAAGCCAAUUACAAGGGGCUUCUGACAUUUUAGCUCAGCUCCAUCUGAGGAGAAAACACAUUUGUUAGUGAAACAAACUGCAUGAGGAAGUCAUGGCCUUUGUGAAGAGACCGAGUGUUCAAAACGUGAUUCUUCUGGUUCUGUCAUAAUCAUUUGUCAGAGUUUGUUUCAUAUUUUUUUCUAGCCUCGAUGAAUUCAGCAUAUUUUUUCUAGCCUCAACGAAUUUGGGUCUUUCCAUCGAAUUUCAAUCAAGAUGUGAGGAUUGUGGAGAUUUUUAACUUUUUAGUUCGACUACAUGAGGCCGACAAAGCUAUUAAUUCCUCUCACAUGCAUCAGUCCCUAAUCUCCUCAAACUCUUCCCUCAGAGUCUACUGAUUCAUUCCAGAAACAAGAGCAUAGACCUCAUCAGAUUCUAUACUUGAAUUUGAAGAGGCCCACAGUGAAGCUUGAAGGAAAACGAAAGACUCUUGUUGAUGGAUAGUGUUGGAGAAGUCUAAACAGAAAUGUCUGUGGCCAGGAAGAAUGCCUCGUUGGGGACACUCUGGAAGACCAGCGUGUGUUCAGACAGAAUGAGGAGAGCUUCCCUAGAGAGAGGUAGUGGCUGAGGCUCUAACUUUGAGUUCUAACCCUGUCCUCCUAUUUAAGGUGAAAUGAAGCUCUGAACAAGAGUUUUCCUCUUCUGGAAUCUCAAAAUAUUAAACCUGAUAAGAACCUGAAUGCUGUCUAAAGCAGACCUUUCCUUUUAUAGGUCAGGAACACAGAAGAUCCCAGAGGUACCGUGACUUGUCUGCAGUUGCAGAGCUGCUUUGGGACAGGUACAGAAGCAGCCUGAGAUUCUCCCAACACCUAGGUCACCUCUGCCCAGUGACAAAGGUUCUCUCCUUCAAACCUUACUCAGGCUCCUCUGACUGCCUCUGAUCUCUCUUCUCAAAUAGGCCUUGAUUUCGGGGGCUUCUGUGUUUGUCUCUGCAUGUCCAAUUUUAGUGAGAGAUCCUGCUAAGUUGGUUUAGACAGACUCUCCCACUCUCGAUGCCUCGUGCCCCCCACAGUGCUGUCUGGUCACCCUGGUCUGCCUCCACAAGAUUUCUGUCAGGUUAGUAUUGUCAAAAUCCUUCCUGACCCCUCUUAGGGAAGUUUUCUCUUGGUAACUUAUUUUUUUUUUUUGAAGAUUUUAUUGAUUGAUUGAUUUGAAAGAGAGAGAAUGAGCAGUGGGGAGGAGCAGGGGGAAAGAUGAGGAGGAGGAGAGAGAAGCAGACCCCCUGCUGAGCGGAAAGCCCCAUGAGGGACUCAAUCUCAGGACCCCGAGAUCAUGACCUGAACUGAAGGUUAGGUGACCUUUAGAGGCUGCCCCCACUCCAAUGAUCCACCCCUAGUUACCCUUGAAAUUUCCAGUUUCUGGAAACCCUAGAAACCUAGGGGUUACCCUGGUAACCCCUAGUUACCCUUGAAAUUUCCAGUUUCUGGUAAUAUUAUUUUUCAAUGCUGGGGACAUGUACACUCAUUUUUUAAAAAUUAAUGUGUUUAGUUAAAUGUUAUUAAUGCCAAAAUAGAAAAAGGCAAGUCUAAAUUACAGAAUAUUUUGAAAGAAGUUGAUUUAAUAGCAGUUUAGUAGAGGGGAAAAAGCAGAUGUUGGGGGCUGGAUAAAAAUGAGCUGUAAUCUGUUGGUGGGAAUGCAAACUGGUGCAGCCACUCUGGAAGACAGUAUGGAAGUCAAAAAGCUAAAAAUAGAGCUACCCUAUGACCUAGCAAUUGCACUACUAGGUAUUUAUCUAAAUGAUACAAA